rnacentral:rRNA from 1 species
GUCCACGCCCUAAACGAUGUCAAUUAGCUGUUGGGAGAUUAAAAGCUCUUGGUAGCGUAGCUAACGCGUGAAAUUGACCGCCUGGGGAGUACGGUCGCAAGAUUAAAACUCAAAGGAAUUGACGGGGACCCCGCACAAGCGGUGGAUGAUGUGGAUUAAUUCGAUGCAACGCGAAGAACCUUACCUGGUCUUGACAUGUACGGAAUCCUCCAGAGACGGAGGAGUGCCUUCGGGAACCGUAACACAGGUGCUGCAUGGCUGUCGU